CCCUUAGAUGUCCUGGGCCGCACGCGCGCUACACUGAGUGUCUGAGAUACGAGUCUGCCUGGUCCGGCAAGGUCUAGGUAAUCGCUAAAAGACACAUCAUGCUUGGGAUAGAUUAUUGCAAAUAUUAAUCUUGAACGAGGAAUUCCUAGUAAGCGCAAGUCAACAGCUUGCAUUGAUUACGUCCCUGCCCUUUGUACACACCGCCCGUCGCACCUACCGAUUGAAUGGUCCGGUGAAGCCUCGGGAUUGUGGCCAGUUCACUUUAUUGGGAGUUGGCUGUGAGAACUUGUCUAAACCUUAUCAUUUAGAGGAAGGUGAAGUCGUAACA
rnacentral:rRNA from 1 species